AGUGUUUCCAAACUGCAGGUUUCGGUUUUACAAGAGAAAAGACUAGAAGGAUAAAGACUAAUUUGUUGGUUUGGAAAAUGGACGUCUGGUUAUCUUGUCAACGCUAGAUAAAGAGCAGCUCUGUUUCUCCGCAGUGGCUGGGGCUGCUCGGUUAGCAGGAGCCGGUGAGGAGUUGAGUGGCCAUGCAUGCUGGCACAAGGAGGAGUCCUCAGCCUUCAGUCACACCCUUUGCUUCACCAGGAAGGACGUCCCCCAACAACCGCCAUAACACCAAAGACCAAGAAACAAAUGAUUAAUAUAACAGAAAAUUGCAUGUGUAACCCUACAGUGUUCAAAUGUGUACACUCCAUUUGAAAUAAUGUCAGGUUAAAGGUGUGAAUAAAUAAGAUUCUAAAUCAAACAAACUGUUGUGUCCAUUGUUUGGUUGUAGUUGACUGCAAAUGAAGUGAACCUGUGUAGGAAAGCAAACUAAUGAGAUGAGACAGUGUGGACUGAUGACUUUUUAUCUCAAAGCCUUAAAAGUGCUAGGUCUCAGUGCCACAACUGCCAUUAACAAUCAGCAUUUUAACACUGCCAUCAGGGUGCUAUUCCAGAAAGAAGGUUUAGUGAAAACUCUGAGUUUGUUCACCCUGAGAUGAGGGAAACUCUGGGUUUUCAGUUCCAGAAAGAGAGGGAACUUAAACUCUGGGUCAGUUACCACAGUAACUAAGUCCAUAUUGAAGCGCAUUCAUUAGCGGAGGUUUACUGUAUGUCAGAAUCAACUUUUGGGUAUUAGUUUAGUUACUCAAGGACUCUCUUAAGUUACCACUUUUAUGCAUCAUUGAUGAUGGCUUUUUUCAUUCACUGCGCAAGCUUAACUCAGAGUGGACAUACUCAGAGUUGAUUGAACUCACUCUGGUCAGCUGUUCUGGAACCAACAACU